CAUCCUGGGGAUCAUGCAUAGCCCACCUAGGCAACUACAAUAGAGAUGGCAAUAGCCUUGAUUGAUCUGCAAUGUUCUGUAGUGAAGAAGAAGGAGAAAAGACGAAGAAGAAGAUGAAGACGAAGAUGAAGAUGAAGAAGACAAAGAAGAAGUGAAGAAAAGAAGGAAGGAAGAAGGAAGAAAGAAGAACCACCACCACAACAACAAUCUGAAGGAAUAGGGGUGAUUCAAGAAGUAAGCUGACUAAAGAAAUUACAUAUAAUUCACAGUGCAAGUGCUGUGGUGAAAGUAAAACAGAGCAAAAUGCCAGGCGCGGUGGCUCACUCCUGUAAUCCCAGCACUUUGGGAGGCCGAGGCGGGCGGAUCACGAGGUCAAGAAUUCAAGACCAGCCUGGCCAACAUGGUGAAACCCCAUCUCUACUAAAAAUACAAAAAUUAGCUGGGCAUGGUGGCAGGUGCCUGUAAUCCCAGCUACUCAGGAGGCUGAGGCAGGAGAAUCACUUGAAAUCAGAAGGCGAAGGUUGCAGUGAGCCAAGACUGUGCCACUGCACUCCAGCCUGGGUGAAAGAGCAGAACUCCAUCUCAAAAAAAAAAAAAAAAAAAAAAAGAGCAAAAUAACUUACUAAAAUAUAAAAUAUAAAGAUGAGAGCUGAGUAAGUCAGCUCACAUGGACAAUUGCUUUAGGAAAAAAUACUUGAAGUACAUCCUUUAAUUCUCUGGUUUCUUGCUUUUACUUAGAUUUUGGCCCAGCAGUUUUUUGGUCUCUUGUCAGUCAGCCCCUCAAUCCUUUGAAUAAAGAAUUUUAAAAUUUAUCUAGCAUUCUAAAUUGUUUUAAGUAACGGAGUUGAUCACAAAAAACCUGAAAGCUUGCUCCCUUAUUUCCUUUUUAGUUUUAAGUUUACCUUAUCAGUGAGGCCUUCCUUAUCCACACUUUAUUUUUAAAAUCUCCUAUACCCCUCCCUACCCUCCUUUGUCUUAUUUUUUUCACAGCCAUUAUCAUCUGUGUAUCAACUGUAUAUUUACUUGUUUAUUUUCCAUCUCACCUGCACUAGAAUGUAAGUUCCAUGAAGAAAGGGGCUGUUUUAUUCUCAUUGCCAAAAACAGUGCCUGGCAGACAAUAAACAAUAUUUGUUGAAUCAAUGAAGAAAAGCUCUCCACUGAGCUCCAUACUGAAGUAUCCUACUGUCAACUUGAAAUCAAAUAGGUUUUUCACUCUUAGACACAAUAAAACUUUUGAUUUUCUGUCCACCCCCAACACCAUCCCAGCUUUCCUAUUCCUCAUUUCAGUAAAUAGCACCACGUUCUUUCAGUUACUAAAUCAGAAACUUGAGUCAUUUGUAGUUCUUCCUUUUCCCUCAAAACCUAGAUCCAAUUCAUCAGCAAGGUCUAUAGGUCAAAC
rnacentral:lncRNA from 1 species